GGCGCGCGCGUGGGGCGCUACCGGCCGCUGUCGCCGCCCGAGCCGGCGCCCGCGCACCAGCCCGACACGUGAAUCUACAUACUUGUGAAGCACGCGGGUGCUCUCGCUUUCCCCUCCCCGAGGCAAAGGCUCCCCUAAUACGGUGCACUAAAGACUAAAAUCCUCUGAAGCCUUUACUCUAGUGAUGUUACGAACUAAUAGUUUGUGUGUAGAUAUUCGAGUAGGUACGUGGACGUUUUUUGUACAGAGAUUUUUAAAGACUCUUGUGAUAAUAAUUGGAGAUGCGGACUAGUGAUCAUGGUACUGUACGUUACCUCGAUGUAAAAACGGUGGUUUUUUUGAUACAUUUAAGUUUUCAAGGUCACAAUGUGUGCUCUUGUCUUUAUGACUGAAUGAAAAGUACAUUGAAUUAGCUUUU